rnacentral:rRNA from 1 species
UUUUUAUGGAGAGUUUGAUCCUGGCUCAGGAUGAACGCUGGCGGCGUGCCUAAUACAUGCAAGUCGAGCGAACAGAUGAGGAGCUUGCUCCUCUGACGUUAGCGGC